UACGAAGGGGGCUAGCGUUGCUCGGAAUAAUUGGGAGUAAAGGGUGCGUAGGCGGGUUUUUAAGUGAGGGGUGAAAUCCUGGAGCUCAACUCCAGAACUGCCUUUGAUACUGAAGAUCUUGAGUUCGGGAGAGGUGAGUGGAACUGCGAGUGUAGAGGUGAAAUUCGUAGAUAUUCGCAAGAACACCAGUGGCGAAGGCGGCUCACUGGCCCGAUACUGACGCUGAGGCACGAAAGCGUGGGGAGCAAACAGG
rnacentral:rRNA from 1 species